rnacentral:rRNA from 1 species
UACGGAGGGUGCAAGCGUUAAUCGGAAUUACUGGGCGUAAAGCGUGCGCAGGCGGUUUGUUAAGUCCGUUGUGAAAGCCCCGAGCUCAACUUGGGAAUUGCAGUGGAUACUGGCAGGCUGGAGUACGGUAGAGGAAGGUGGAAUUCCCGGUGUAGCAGUGAAAUGCGUAGAUAUCGGGAGGAACACCGGUGGCGAAGGCGGCGAUCUGGGUCGAUACUGACGCUGAGGUGCGAAAGCGUGGGGAGCAAACAGG